UACGUAGGCGGUCUAAUAAGUCAGUGGUGAAAUCCUGCGGCUCAACCGUAGAACUGCCAUUGAUACUGUUAAACUUGAAUAUAGUUGAGGUAGGCGGAAUGUGUUGUGUAGCGGUGAAAUGCUUAGAUAUAACACAGAACACCGAUUGCGAAGGCAGCUUACUAGACUAUUAUUGACGCUGAGGUACGAAAGCGUGGGGAGCGAACAGGAUUAGAUACCCUGGUAGUCC
rnacentral:rRNA from 1 species